ensembl:lncRNA
CUUUAUUGUCUUGGUGGCUUUAGAAAGCACCUUCUCUUAGCAUUGGGAGUGGAGCUCCAUGAAUAUGGCAGAAAAUCAGAGACCUAAUUCUUUGCAACCCAGAGACUGCUUGUGUUCAUGCGGAUUCUCAGCAUGGCUGGAAACAUUUAGCUUCAAAAUGCACUCAGCACACCACAAAACCAAAAUGAGCUCAAGACAAGCCCGGAGUCACCCACUGCACUGUCUUCAGAUUCGGUCCCCUUUGACACAGACCGCUUCCUUUCUUUGAGUUCCUUCGUCUCAGAAUCAUGGCGGAGUACAGGCCAUGCAUCUUGUAAGCGAUCCGUUUGAGUUUGCCUACAGUCUCUACAUAAUCACAUUCAGCAGCAGGCUCGUACAAGGUCCCAGCGGUUACACAGGAAGCGGUGGCAGACAGCAGGGCAGACACCAUCGUUUGGCUGCUGUAGCUGAAACUGCAUGGUGCUGUCUCGGUUGGCUGGCUGCUUCUGGGCCUCCAGGUCUCAGAAUAAGUCCAUACUCUCUGUCUAUCCAAGCUGGGUAAACUAAGGUUGUUGAACAAGCACGGCCAUGCCUGGGACCCUAAAUUCAGGUCCCAAGAAAUGAAAAGGAUGCACUCUGUUUCCAUGGCAUGCAGAGAUGCAAAGGUGGUGUUGAUGAAUUGCAAAGUGUGCAACAGCAGCAUGUGCUCUGUGUGUGUGUGCUUGCGUGUGUGUGUGUGUGUGUGUGCGUGUG